UGAAUUGGAAUAUUAGGUGUGAAGUAAUUGAUUGCGUUAAUUUCUUUUCUCCACUCUUUAUUAGCCUCCCAUCCCCACGCGAACACGCAGUCUUCUCACGCGCACCACCGGCCACCACCAGAACUCCAUCCUCCGGCCACCGUUUCGAAUGGCCAACCUACCAAGAAGCUUCUCCCAACCCCCACAAGCAUAGCCCGACCAACCUUGCCUCAAACCGUCGCCCAUAGCCAGUGGAAUCGAACUUGGAAACGCACGGCCACCACGAGGUAAAAGUGGUCAAUCCGGCCAACUCCGACAAUCUUUCAACUUUUCGUCACCACCAUUCACCUCACCGGACUGAGGAGCAUCUAACCCAACCAACUUCCAGCCAAAACAACCACCGAAUGCCGGAGAUCUGACUUUGACUCGAUUUUGACUCGGCUGAAAUUCCACUUUCUAGCGACCCCGAAGCUCUAUUCUAACUUGUUUCGUUGCUUUGAACUCAUUGGUGAUGUUUUCGGAUCCAUACAGACAGCGUUGGAGCAUCCCGGAAAUUAUGUCGUAAAUACACAUAUACACACUAUAUACGUGCAGUUAUAAUACUGAACCAGGGGUAAUUUGGUCAUUUAUAAAAGGAUAAAAUGGUGAUUGAGGAGUUGGACUUGAUGCUGUAGACGGUUAAUUAUUUUGUGCACCGCUAUUGAGGUAUGGAUUUCUUACCCUUUUUAUUUUGAAACACUUUCGAGCCACCGUAUUAGAAUGGUGAACUUUGGUUUCCGUCUUGAUUUAUUCCGAGGGGAAACAAGUCUUGAUAGUUUACCAUUAUUUCUUCUACUAUUAUUGUUCAUGUUGUGAUUCUAUUGUACAAAUGAAUGACCCUUGGAAAGCUUGGUAAAAAAACCGAGCUUUGUAUGACUCUUCAUGCAUCUGGAUGAGUGUGUAUGUAUGUAUAUUUAUUGCACUUAUGACAUGUUUCUUUUAAAGAUUGCAUAAUAGAUGCAUGGUAGGUUCCAAGUAUGGACUUGGGGCUUAUGUUAAGUGUUGGAUGUUAUUUGAGCACGUGCGUGGAUGAUGGAUAGGAGUCUUGUGGUUGUGCUAGUCCAUAGGAUUCCCGUAACGGUAUUUAUUACUACACGUUGACUAGUUAUCCGACGAUAGGCCAGGCGUGGCAAGCUGAGAUAUCUUUGUGGGGCCAAUAGUGACUGGUUGCGACCAUAUACGUGCCGACCUUCUCUCUAGUGGUUUAAGAUUGACGUUGAUGGAUGAUUGGAAUUCGUUUCUUGGUAUUGGUUGGAUGCUAGAGAGAGAGGUAGCGCGGGUGGAUUCUCGUCGGCUUAUCGUCGCAGGGCGAGAAUCUGAUCCGCCGAAUUGGGUGUCAUUGGAGGCAGAUAUGGAGAUUCGGUUGCGUUGAUCAGGUCCAUUUAUUAUGUUGUAUUGCAUAUUGUUGCAUCGAAUACACGUUAUUAUUCUCUCAGCCUUUAUUUAUACUCUUUAUAUCCCUACUAGGCAUUCGGCUCAAACCCUCUAUAUUUCUAUCAUUUUAGGUAAGUUUAUUUAAUUUAAAUGGGUCCUUCGGAUUAGCAGGAGUGAGUGUGACCGUGAUGGCUUGGACUAUUGACUCACCUGUAUUUUGGACAUUGUUUAUAUCAUGUUUAAAUUGAUUUUAUGAUUUAUGCAAUGUAAGUUUGUACUCCUAGGUUUCAGUUUGAGGAUCAAAAGGGUGCCCCAGAUGGUUGGGACUUCUGUGUUGGAUUGCAUGGAGAUGGUUGUAGGCUUAAGGGUUUUGGUUUGGGUUCUGUCUAGAUAUUGUAUUAUGUUGGGAUUUUCUUUUGGUUAUUUACAGGGAGACAUUCCUCAAUUUAUGGGGAGAUGAUGUCCAAUUUUCUCCUUUACUAUCGUUGUGUUUGUGUAUAUUAUGUUAUUCAUUUUUUCCCUCAUGCUCCGAGGGUCGGGCCGUGACAAAAUUACUAA